rnacentral:rRNA from 1 species
GACGAACGCUGGCGGCGCGCCUAACACAUGCAAGUCGAACGAGAGAGGAAGAGCUUGCUUUUCCGAUCGAGUGGCGAACGGGUGAGUAACGCGCGAGGAACCUGCCUCAAAGAGGGGGACAACAGUUGGAAACGACUGCUAAUACCGCAUAAGCCCACGGCUCGGCAUCGAGCAGAGGGAAAAGGAGCAAUCCGCUUUGAGAUGGCCUCGCGUCCGAUUAGCUAGUUGGUGAGGUAACGGCCCACCAAGGCGACGAUCGGUAGCCGGACUAAGAGGUUGAACGGCCACAUUGGGACUGAGACACGGCCCAGACUCCUACGGGAGGCAGCAGUGGGGAAUAUUGCACAAUGGGGGAAACCCUGAUGCAGCGACGCCGCGUGGAGGAAGAAGGUCUUCGGAUUGUAAACUCCUGUUGUUGAGGAAGAUAAUGACGGUACUCAACAAGGAAGUGACGGCUAACUACGUGCCAGCAGCCGCAGUAA